rnacentral:rRNA from 1 species
AUUGAACGCUGGCGGCAUGCUUUACACAUGCAAGUCGAACGGCAGCGCGGGCUUCGGCCUGGCGGCGAGUGGCGAACGGGUGAGUAAUACAUCGGAACGUGCCCAGUAGUGGGGGAUAGCUCGGCGAAAGCCGGAUUAAUACCGCAUACGACCUGAGGGUGAAAGCGGGGGAUCUUCGGACCUCGCGCUAUUGGAGCGGCCGAUGGCAGAUUAGCUAGUUGGUGGGGUAAAGGCCUACCAAGGCGACGAUCUGUAGCUGGUCUGAGAGGACGACCAGCCACACUGGGACUGAGACACGGCCCAGACUCCUACGGGAGGCAGCAGUGGGGAAUUUUGGACAAUGGGCGAAAGCCUGAUCCAGCAACGCCGCGUGUGUGAUGAAGGCCUUCGGGUUGUAAAGCACUUUUGGCGGGAACGAAAAGGACUGUGCCAAUACCACGGUUCGAUGACGGUACCCGCAGAAUAAGCACCGGCUAACUACGUG